GAUGAACGCUGGCGGCGUGCCUAAUACAUGCAAGUCGAGCGAACAGAUAAGGAGCUUGCUCCUUUGACGUUAGCGGCGGACGGGUGAGUAACACGUGGAUAACCUACCUAUAAGACUGGGAUAACUUCGGGAAACCGGAGCUAAUACCGGAUAACAUAUUGAACCGCAUGGUUCAAUAGUGAAAGGCGGCUUUGCUGUCACUUCUAGAUGGAUCCGCGCCGUAUUAGCUAGUUGGUAAGGUAACGGCUUACCAAGGCAACGAUACGUAGCCGACCUGAGAGGGUGAUCGGCCACACUGGAACUGAGACACGGUCCAGACUCCUACGGGAGGCAGCAGUAGGGAAUCUUCCGCAAUGGGCGAAAGCCUGACGGAGCAACGCCGCGUGAGUGAUAAAGGUCUUCGGAUCGUAAAACUCUGUUAUCAGGGAAGAACAAAUGUGUAAGUAACUGUGCACAUCUUGACGGUACCUGAUCAGAAAGCCACGGCUAACUACGUG
rnacentral:rRNA from 1 species